GCUUGUCUCAAAGAUUAAGCCAUGCAUGUCUAAGUAUAAAUGCUAUACAAUGAAACUGCGAAUGGCUCAUUAAAACAGUUAUAGUUUAUUUGGUAAUCGAAUUUACAUGGAUAACCGUGGUAAUUCUAGAGCUAAUACAUGCUGUUAAGCCUGACUUACGAAGGGCUGUAUUUAUUAGAUAACAGACCAAUAUUCCCUCGUGUCUAUUGUGGUGAAUCAUAGUAACUGAUCGGAUCGCAUGGGCGUGCCCGCGACAAACCAUUCAAGUUUCUGCCCCAUCAGCUUUCGAUGGUAGUGUAUUGGACUACCAUGGCUUUUACGGGUAACGGAGGAUUAGGGUUCGAUUCCGGAGAGGGAGCCUUAAAAACGGCUACCACAUCCAAGGAAGGCAGCAGG
rnacentral:rRNA from 1 species